AGUGAACGCUGGCGGCGUGCUUAACACAUGCAAGUCGAACGAGAACGGAAUAUAGCUUGCUAUAUUUGUCAGCUAAGUGGCGCACGGGUGAGUAAUGUAUAGAUAACCUGCCCUUAAGAAAGGAAUAACAGUUGGAAACGACUGCUAAUGCCCUAUAUACCUUUAAUACAUAAGUAUGCAAGGGAAACGCUUUAGUGCUUAAGGAUGGGUCUGUAUGGUAUCAGCUUGUUGGUGAGGUAAUGGCUCACCAAGGCUAUGACGCCUAACUGGUUUGAGAGGAUGAUCAGUCACACUGGAACUGAGACACGGUCCAGACUCCUACGGGAGGCAGCAGUGGGGAAUAUUGCACAAUGGACGAAAGUCUGAUGCAGCAACGCCGCGUAGAGGAUGACACAUUUCGGUGCGUAAACUCCUUUUAUAUAGGAAGAUAAUGACGGUACUAUAUGAAUAAGCACCGGCUAACUCCGUGCCAGCCGCCGCCGUAA
rnacentral:rRNA from 1 species